rnacentral:rRNA from 1 species
GACGAACGCUGGCGGCGUGCUUAACACAUGCAAGUCGAACGGAAAGGCCCUGCUUUUGUGGGGUGCUCGAGUGGCGAACGGGUGAGUAACACGUGAGUAACCUGCCCUUGACUUUGGGAUAACUUCAGGAAACUGGGGCUAAUACCGGAUAGGAGCUCCUGCUGCAUGGUGGGGGUUGGAAAGUUUCGGCGGUUGGGGAUGGACUCGCGGCUUAUCAGCUUGUUGGUGGGGUAGUGGCCUACCAAGGCUUUGACGGGUAGCCGGCCUGAGAGGGUGACCGGCCAGAUUGGGGCUGGGCUACGGCCCAGACUCCUACGGGAGGAAGCAGUGGGGAAUUAUGCACUAUGGGCGGAAGCCUGAUGCAGCCACGCCGCGUGCGGGAUGGCGGCCUUCGGGUUGUUAACCGCUUUCCACUGUGACGAAGCGUGAGUGACGGUAAUGGGUAAAGAAGCACCGGCUAACUACGUG